rnacentral:rRNA from 1 species
GGAGUUAGCCGGUGCUUCUUCUGUGAGUGAUGUCCUUCCUGCCGGCUAUUAACCCGCAGGCCUUCUUCCUCACUGAAAGUGCUUUACAACCCGAAGGCCUUCUUCACACACGCGGCAUGGCUGGAUCAGGGUUGCCCCCAUUGUCCAAUAUUCCCCACUGCUGCCUCCCGUAGGAGUCUGGGCCGUGUCUCAGUCCCAGUGUGGCUGAUCAUCCUCUCAGACCAGCUACGGAUCGUCGCCUUGGUGAGCCGUUACCUCACCAACCAGCUAAUCCGACAUAGGCUCAUCCGAUAGCGCGAGGCCCGAAGGUCCCCCGCUUUCCCCCGUAGGGCGUAUGCGGUAUUAGCCUGGGUUUCCCCCAGGUUAUCCCCCGACUACCGGGCAGAUUCCUAUGCAUUACUCACCCGUCCGCCGCUCGCCACCAGGGAGCAAGCUCCCCGUGCUGCCGCUCGACUUGCAUGUGUUAGGCCUGCCGCCAGCGUUCAAUCUGAGCCAGAAUCAAACUCUGA